CGACUGUUCUUGAAAUUGGUAGGAGUGUGGAGAGGAGUAGGAGGAAGAGGAGAGAAGAGAGGAGGCUUUGAAACUUGUAGGUCUUCUUCAUGUUGAAAUUUAGUUUUGAUUUUUGUUUCUGAGAGAGUUGAAAUUUGAUGUUAUUGCAUUCAUUUAUAUAGAGGUUUUGUCAUGAUAUACAUAAAACAUUUAUGUUGAUUAGGUUAGUAUCUAGUGACUUUCACAAGAGUUAACAGGGCAGUGCCCCCAAUAUGCAUUUAAGUAAAGCAUUCACUGUUCUUGAAGUGUACAAUUUCCUUAAAUGCUCUUUCUGGUAUAUUUUUAUUUUUGGUCAAGUCAUCUUUUUAUUCCAUCAAUAUACAUAUAAAACAUAUUACUGUAAAUAAAACAUUUUCCGGUAACAUAGAAAAAUGGUAGAAAAUUAUGAGUUCUGGUUAGCUUGUAGAAUUUCACAAAAUAAUUAUACGGAAAAUUGAAUUUAGUUAUGGUCUCUGAAGGAAUCCAAAGAAGUGUUCUGUAAAAGUUAUUCGUUUGGAUCGAAAAGCCUUAUGGAAUUUUCGUUAUGAUUUUUUUGGUUUUAUUUGAAAAUGAAAGUAAAAACCAAACCACAGUUUUACAGUUUAGCAAACCAAGAUUUUCCAAUAUUUAAAAAUCUGUGGUUUCUAAACGAUGAAGUGUAUAAUUUAUUUCGUCACAAACUAACAUUUAAGUUUUGUUCAUGCGCAUGAAACAAAUAUUUGUAUAGAUAAUAACGAGCUAGAUUGCAAAUUAGAAAAUACUCUGAAAAGAGUAACGUAAAGAACCAAAAAAAAUGUCUACACAAAUAAAUGAGGCGAAGACGGAAGAACCAAUAUAUGAAGAAAUUAAAUCAAGAACAAAUAGUAGACACAAAAAUGAAACAAUAAUGAAUACAUAAUAUGUUACUCUUCUUCCAGUAACUUUUGCGAUGGAUCAUAGCCAGUUCUUGCGAAUGUCGAAGGUGUAGUUGUUCUCCAAAUAGCACUUGUCAUCAUCGUCGACGAACUGAAUGACAUACACAUAGUUAUUUGGCAAACUAAAGAUGAUUUUAUUAGUUUUAACUAACACCAUGAUACUAACUAAUAGAUUAUGGAUAAAUGAUGAUAAGUAAAUAGAAAUUUAAUUAUAUACUUUUGGUACCUUAGAUUUAACAGAAUAGGAACCUCUAACAAGCAUACCAGACGGUGUUGAUUCUUCAAACAUGACAUGGGUAUACGGUUCGGCCUGUGGACUAAACGUUCCUAACAUCUCCUUUCUACCAUACACUGUUCUCAACAAAUGAGUAAGAAAAAUAAGUUAGAGAAACAGCUUCAAAACUCAUUGACAUAAUGGUACACGAGUGCGCUAAAAGCAAAAGAAAAAUGUACCCUUGAUUCCAGUCUUCCAAACACUAUUGCUGUAUCGGAGACCGGACACAAUGUUGUUGGUCACACGGAAAGUAAAUACGAGAGUGUACUUAGAGCCUUCUUUGAGGGUAAACCAUGGUCCUUUGGAUGUCGGUUUUCCGUCUUCAGGGACCGUCAAUACCAUGUCUUCUCUAUCAGGUGACCUAAUUGUUAAGUUCAAUAUCUUCACCACCGGAUCAGGAGUCUCUGUAUUUACAUUUUGUUAUUCUAUCAAAACAUUACAAAUCCAUAUCUAAAGAAUUUCUUUGAAAAACACCAUUUAAUGUGAGGUAGUUACUGAAAUGGAGCAGAACCAUUAAUUACACCAAAUGAUGACAUUUUUUGCCCUUUUGCAGAAAAAUAUCGUAUUGUUACUUGGUCUAGUCUUAUGUUACGUUAAUUCACUCUACAAUUAUUAAUCGACCUUUCCCCCUAACAUUGCCUAUAAUUUAAGUAUUACGCAUGAGGCAAGAGACAUGGAAUUUAGGACAUUACAAUUGUAAUCAAUGGAACUCCUCUAAACCGGAUUUAGUUGUCAUUAAACCUUAGAUCUAAUCGGGAUUGAAAGUUGGUUAACUACCUCCAACUUCCUCAAGAUCCACUUUGCCUAGAAGUUGUUCUUUCCAUCUCAUUAAGCUUUCAUCAUCCUACACAUUUUUUCAUGGUACAAAAAAGUGAUUAGAUUAUAAACAAAAUUCACCCAUUAUCAUAUAGGUUAGAUACAUAAUAUUAAAAGAAUAAAGACCAAGUAUAUAUAUAUAUAAGAUUAGCAUUUGUGAACCAACAUAGUGGCAUAACCAAAGUGCUAUUAUAAUUUUUGAAAACAGGAUGAGAGAUAAAAAAAAACCUUGUCUUUCUCGAACUGUUCUUUGAGAGCGAUCAUGGGACCAAGUUCAAGCUUCUUGUCUUCGUCUUCUUCGUCAUCUUCUGUCGGACACAAAGAGCUGUGGCUGUUCUUUCUGCUUAACGUCCAUUGUCCCUUUGGAUCUUCUGCGGACUCUUCAGCUUUGUUAUUCUCAUCUUUCAAACCCAUCUUGUUCUCUUUUGGUUCUAUGAUUUGAUUUGAAUACUAGAAAAUCUAAAUCGUUAGAUUUUAUGGAGAUGGUUAAUCAACCGAGUUUAGUGAGGAGACAACCAAAUAAAAAAUUGAAGAGUUUGUUUUCUCUUUGGGUCAAAAAAUGAGAAGAGAAUAAUAAGAACAAAGAGAGUUCAGAGACAGACAAUAAGAUGGAAACGUUUGGUAUUUUGGUCUGCGGAAUGUUUUUUUUUUUUUUGAAAAAAGGCUUUGGUCUGCGGAAUGUUUAAAUAUGGAAAUUCCAAGAAAAGGUCAUGCGGUGAUCCUAAAUUAAGCUUCUAAUCUUCCCGUUCACAUGAUUUAUUAUCUAAAAAUAAACGGUACAAUAUAGCUAAGUUUGCAUACGUACAUGAAUCUGAAUAUAUACAUGCAUGCACGCAGGGCCGGACCUGGGCUAAAGCCCAUAAAGCAAAAGCUUUAGGCGACAAAAUCUAUAUAUAUUAUAUGGGCGCCAAAAUCUAAUGAAAUCACUUUAGCUUAGUGGCUUGUGCUCUCUUCCUUCCUUUGAACAGGUAAGACCAUGUUUAUCGCAGAUCCUUAACAGGAUUCUUAAGGUAAUAAACUGAUUUAAUUAAAUGUAAACAAAAUAAAAAAGCAAUUAUCGAUCCUUAAGUAAGAGUUUUGGGGAUCGGUUUUUAGGUUGGUUUUAUUGCACGUGUCAGCACACAAAUACUCCUGUUUUUUUUUCUUUGUUUUUUUCUCCUUCUUCGCUCGUCUUCGCCGUUCCCUCGUCUCCUCCUUCUUUGAUCAUCAUCAUCAGGUGGGUUUACCGGUUCUGGAUUCGCGGAGCUGAAGCCGGAGCUUGCGACGAGCCUCCUGGUAAAGACUACUCUGUCCAGAAGAUGAUCCUCGGCACCCACACUUCAGAGAAUGAACCCAAUUACCUCAUGAUAGCUCAGGUCCAGCUUCCCCUUGACGACACCGAGAGCGAAGCUCGUCAAUACGACGACGAACGGUCCGAGUUCGGUGGGUUUGGCUGCGCCACCGGAAAGGUUUGAUCUUUAUUGAGUUUUAGAGUUCCGCUGAGUUGAGUGAAUAUUAAAGUCGAUUACUUUGUUCCAUUGAGUUGAAUGAAUAUUUAAAGUCGAUUACUUUGUGUGUAGGUGCAAAUUAUUCAGCAGAUAAACCACGAAGGGGAGGUGAACCGAGCUCGGUACAUGCCUCAGAACCCUUUUGUGAUUGCUACCAAGACGGUUAACGCGGAGGUGUAUGUGUUUGAUUACAGCAAGCAUCCGUCUAAGCCGCCGCUUGAUGGAGCUUGUAACCCUGAUUUGAGGCUGAGAGGUCACAGCUCUGAGGGGUAUGGCUUCUCUUGGAGUAAGUUCAAGGCGGGGAUAUUAACGCUACUCCUAAAAACAAGGUCAUUGAUGCUCAGCAGAUCUUUAAGGUAAUGCUUUGAUUCGUGGAGAAGCAAUUGUAAAGUUUAUAGACAGAUAUUAAGUGUGAUUCAUGUGUUUACCGUACACCUGUUUGGAUCCGUUGGAGAUGAUCAGUACAUUUCUUAUAUGGGAUCUGCGUUCUCCAUCUGCCAGUAAACCUAUACAGUCUGUGGUUGCUCACUCCAUGGAGGUGCUUUGCAAUGAACUGAAUUUUAAGAGCAGAGAAGGUUCUCCAAUAACAGAGGUAGAGCCAUACAUACCUUUUAACAUUAACCCAGCAGGGAUGCAGCCUGUUCUUACAACCACUUACCUCUUGGCAUUUCCCAGCAUUCUUGCAAGGUAAAGAACCCGUUAUGUUUGAAACAUUAUUGCUUCGUAUGGUGUAUUUACCAUCUUAAGGUUGUCUAAUAAGAUGAUUUUAUUGUUUUUUAGCAUUGUGGGUUCACCGUUCUUGUUACACGUGAAGGAUAUAUUAAACCCUGAAAGCACAGUUGGGGCACCGCCAUGGGUUUACUACUCAGUCUAUGCGUUUUUCGUGUUUCUCUUCAACAUCUUUGACAUAUGUCGUCAGCCAGCGCCGGAGCUGACAGCGACUGUUCUUGAAAUUGGUAGGAGUGUGGAGAGGAGUAGGAGGAAGAGGAGAGAAGAGAGGAGGCUUUGAAACUUGUAGGUCUUCUUCAUGUUGAAAUUUAGUUUUGAUUUUUGUUUCUGAGAGAGUUGAAAUUUGAUGUUAUUGCAUUCAUUUAUAUAGAGGUUUUGUCAUGAUAUACAUAAAACAUUUAUGUUGAUUAGGUUAGUAUCUAGU
rnacentral:lncRNA from 1 species